CUUAACGCGUUACGUACGGCACCGAAGAUCAAGUCCCCGACACCUAGUAUCCAUCGUUUACGGUGUGGACUACCAGGGUAUCUAAUCCUGUUUGCUCCCCACACUUUCGCACCUCAGCGUCAAUGCCUGUCCAGGUGGCCGCCUUCGCCACCGGUGUUCCUCCUGAUAUCUACGGAUUUCACUCCUACACCAGGAAUUCCGCCACCCUCUCCAGGAUUCAAGCCCUGCAGUUUCAAAGGCAGUUCCACGGUUGAGCCGUGGGAUUUCACCCCUGACUUACAAGGCCGCCUACGUGCGCUUUACGCCCAGUAAUUCCGAAUAACGCUUGCACCCUCC
rnacentral:rRNA from 1 species